ACUGGUAGCCUGGCUGUGCUUCAUUUUGGAGGGUAUAUAGAGAGCCAGGAGGAAGGAGUGAACUCUGGCUCGUUCUCUUGUAUAAAAAAGCACCAGUGUCCUGGACUGGACACCCACUGCUAUAAAAGAUGCAGGGGGGCCCAGGGCCUGAUCGUCACCGACUGAUAUCCCGACUGGAGUCCCACAACUUGUUGGGCGGCUCAGCCCGAAGGCGGGCGAAGAAAGGAUGCUGAAGGGCUUCACCCAAGGUCAGCCGCUUAGCUGGUUCAUACUCUAGCAUGCUUUCAAUCAGAUCGAAGAGCUGGUGGUGUUCCUCUGCCUCUGAGGUCAGAUACCGCUGGUGGAGGAGGGCAGGAAAAAGGUGAGGCAGGAUGCCUUACAAACCCUGCCUUCUUCAAGACCCUACCUU
rnacentral:lncRNA from 1 species